UGCGCAGCGGCUCGCUGGAGGGCGGCUAUACCUUCAACGUAUGGCAGGGCGCGUCCAGCAACGUGUAUGUGCAGCC
rnacentral:tRNA from 1 species